rnacentral:rRNA from 1 species
GACGAACCGUCCAAACGUUAUUCGGAAUCACUGGGCUUACAGAGUUCGUAGGUGGUCUGGAAAGUUGGGUGUGAAAUCCCUCGGCUCAACCGAGGAACUGCGCUUGAAACUACCAGACUCGAGGGAGAUAGAGGAAAGCGGAACUGAUGGUGGAGCGGUGAAAUGCGUUGAUAUCAUCAGGAACACCGGUGGCGAAGGCGGCUUUCUGGGUCUUACCUGACGCUGAGGAACGAAAGCCAGGGGAGCGAACGGG